rnacentral:rRNA from 1 species
UAAGUAUCAUUAAGUGAAUACAUAGCUUAAUGAGGGGAACUCAGGGAACUGAAACAUCUAAGUACCUGAAGGAAGAGAAAGAAAUUCGAUUCCGUAAGUAGCGGCGAGCGAACGCGGAUUAGCCCAAACCAAUAAAGUUUUCUUUAUUGGGGUUGUGGACAUAUCAUAACGAAGAGGUAUCGUAAUUGAAGAGGUUUGGAAAGACCCACCACAGAAGGUAAUAGUCCUGUAUGUUAAACGAGAAGACUUUAGAUAUGAUCCAGAGUACCACGG